GUGAGGAAUAUUGGACAAUGGGUUAGCGCCUGAUCCAGCCAUCCCGCGUGAAGGACGACGGUUCUAUGGAUUGUAAACUUCUUUUAUAUAGGGAUAAACCUACUCUCGUGAGGGUAGCUGAAGGUACUAUAUGAAUAAGCACCGGCUAACUCCGUGCCAGCAGCCGCGGUAAUACGGAGGGUGCAAGCGUUAUCCGGAUUUAUUGGGUUUAAAGGGUCCGUAGGCGGGCUUGUAAGUCAGUGGUGAAAUCCGGCAGCUCAACUGUCGAACUGCCAUUGAUACUGCAAGUCUUGAGUAAAUUAGAAGUGGCUGGAAUAAGUAGUGUAGCGGUGAAAUGCAUAGAUAUUACUUAGAACACCAAUUGCGAAGGCAGGUCACUAUGUUUUAACUGACGCUGAUGGACGAAAGCGUGGGUAGCGAACAGG
rnacentral:rRNA from 1 species